rnacentral:rRNA from 1 species
UACGAAGGGGCUAGCGUUGUUCGGAAUCACUGGGCGUAAAGGGCGCGUAGGCGGCUUUAUAAGUCGGGGUGAAAGCCUGUGGCUCAACCACAGAAUUGCCUUCGAUACUGUAUGGCUUGAGACCGGAAGAGGUAAGUGGAACUGCGAGUGUAGAGGUGAAAUUCGUAGAUAUUGCAAGAACACCAGUGGCGAAGGCGGCUCACUGGCCCGAUACUGACGCUGAGGCACGAAAGCGGUGGGAG